UACGUAGGGCGCAAGCGUUGUCCGGAAUUAUUGGGCGUAAAGAGCUCGUAGGCGGCCUGUUGCGUCCGCUGUGAAAUCCCGGGGCUCAACCCCGGGCCUGCAGUGGAUACGGGCUGGCUAGAGGCAGGCAGGGGAGAACGGAAUUCCUGGUGUAGCGGUGAAAUGCGCAGAUAUCGGGAGGAACACCUGUGGCGAAAGCGGCUCACUGGACCGCAACUGACGCUGAGGCGCGAAAGCUAGGGGAGCAAACAGG
rnacentral:rRNA from 1 species